rnacentral:lncRNA from 1 species
UCAGAAUUCAGAGUUUGGAUUGGAAUUAGAUUUGGUCUUCCUGUUUCUUACCAUCCUUGCAAGUUUCGGGCAAAUCCUCACCGUGAGGUAAAACAGUGGGAGUAAUUUGAUCGAUCAAAAACCGUUUAAUUCAUUCGGGACAAAACUGUGGCACGAUCGACGAAUCCAUGGCGACAAUAUGACAACGCGACAACGAAUGCAACAAAUCUAUGUUUUGUUUUGUACAGUGAAGAACUCAAUCGAAAGAACAGGAGAUGACAGGGGAAACUGAAGCGACGAUCGAUCUCGCUCACCAACACGCCCAUUGCCAUUGCAGCCGAAGCAAUCGAGGAAAGGGCACCGUCUUCUUGUAAUCCCUUUGAUGCGCGUUUGCCCUUCCGUCUCGUUUGAUCCGGUGAAACGACGGGUGGGGAACGAGAGGUCACGCCCGGCCGGCGCCGUCGUGUGGCGGCGGCGGGUUGAAGAGCGGCGGCGCGUCGCGGCCGCCGAGGUCCAUGGAUGACUUGGCGGAGGCCGGCGGGGCGACGAAGCGGGCGGAGAAGUCGCGGGAGCCGG